rnacentral:rRNA from 1 species
UGAAUACGAGAUGCUACGGCGUCGAAGCAGUGUAUGUCAGACUUCCAAGAAAAGCUCGCAAUGUCAUAAAUAAAGAAUGCCUGUACCAUAACCGACACAGGUGGGUAGGUAGAGUAUACUAAGGGGCGCGAGAUAACUCUCUCUAAGGAACUCGGCAAAAUAACUCCGUAACUUCGGGAGAAGGAGUGCCUUCUUUAAGAAGGUUGCAAUAACAAGAUCCAAGCAACUGUUUAUCAAAAACACAGGUCUCCGCUAAGUCGUAAGACGAUGUAUGGGGGCUGACGCCUGCCCAGUGCCAGAAGGUUAAAGAAGUUGGUUAGCUUUUGCGAAGCUGAUGACUGAAGCCCUGGUGAACGGCGGCCGUAACAAUAACGGUCCUAAGGUAGCGAAAUUCCUUGUCGGGUAAGUUCCGACCCGCACGAAAGGCGUAAUGAUUUGGAUACUGUCUCGGAGAGGGACUCGGUGAAAUAGACUUGUCUGUGAAGAUGCGGACUACCUGCACCAGGACAGAAAGACCCUAUGAAGCUUUACUGUAACUUGAAAUUGAAAUUGGACUUUAUUUGCGCAGUAUAGGUGGAAGGCGUUGAAAGUAAUCUUGCGGGAUUAGUGGAGCCAUCAGUGAGAUACCACUCCUAUAAUGUUAGAUUUCUAACUUUGGAUCAUGAUCUGGUCAAAGAACAGUUUCAGGCGGGCAGUUUGACUGGGGCGGUCGCCUCCCAAAUGGUAACGGAGGCGUACAAAGGUUUCCUCUGAACGGGUAGAAAUCGUAUCUAGAGUGUAAAGGCAUAAGGAAGCUUGACUGUGAGACCUACAAGUCGAGCAGGGACGAAAGUCGGUCUUAGUGAUCUGACGGUGCUGAGUGGAAAGGCCGUCACUCAACGGAUAAAAGUUACUCUAAGGAUAACAGGCUGAUCUCCCCCAAGAGUUCACAUCGACGGGGAGGUUUGGCACCUCGAUGUCGGCUCAUCGCAUCCUGGGGCGGUAGUACGUCCCAAGGGUUGGGCUGUUCGCCCAUGAAAGCGGUACGCGAGCUGGGUUCAGAACGUCGUGAGACAGUUCGGUCCAUAUCCGGUGUAGGCGUUAGAAUAUUGAGAGGAGCCUUCUUUAGUACGAGAGGACCGAGAAGGACAUACCUCUGGUGUACCAGUUAUCGUGCCAACGGUAAACGCUGGGUAGCUAUGUAUGGAGAGGAUAACCGCUGAAAGCAUCUAAGUGGGAAGCCCACCUCAAGAUGAGUAUUCUCA